rnacentral:lncRNA from 1 species
UUUUUCUGCCAAGUUUAGCAACGCUCUCCGUCUCCGGCGAACUUUUGCUUCUCUCCGCCGAAAAUCAAGCUGUGAGUUCCCUUUUUGUCAUCUGUGGUAAUCCCUUUUUCUAAUGCUCUUUAGUUGUAAAUAUUCUUAAUAGAAAAUGAAAAGAAAAGAAAAGGAGAAUGCCAUAAAAAGUGCAUUUUUUUAUAAUUAUAUUUUUAGUUUUCAGCAUUCUUUUUAGUGGUAAUACAAUAAUCUGUGAACUGGGUUUUGUCCUUUUGGUGUUUACUGUUAGUUACUGCAUAAGGAGUAUCAACUUCAAUUUCUGAUUUUUCCAAUUUAAUAUGCAUUUUAGCUUUCCAUGUUAAUUAGUGUCCUGGGAUAUUCUUAAUUGAAAAAAAGAAAUAAAAAAGGAGGAUAAGUCCAUAAAGGUGUAAUCUUUAUCAUUAUUUUGCUGGUUUUCAGCAUGCUUUUUUAAUAGUAAAACACGAAUUCAAAAUUUACCUGCACCCGGUGUUUACACCAAACCAUACUAAUUUACUAUGGUUAAUCAUAUAUUAAGGUGAGAUGCAUUUUAACUAACUACUAUAUUUUGGUGAUAAGCGUGAAGGGAGCCUUGGAGCAACUAGGUCACGGAGUUUGAGCCUUGGAAGCAGCUACUAAUGCUUGCAUUAAGGGAAGCUGUCUACAUCACACUCUCUUGGAGCGGCCCUUCCCGAACCGUGCGUGAAUGCAUGAUGCCUUGUGCACCGGGUUGCCUUUUAUUUUGGUGAUAAGUGUGUAUGUGAAGACAUCUAUUAUAUAUUCAUCGGGUUUGGGUUUGGGGUUAUCAUGGUUAGUGUAUACUAUCACUACAUAAUGAAAGAUUCAAGUUUGAUUUAUACCUUUUUUAUGAUUUUUAGAAGUUAAUUUUGCAUUCUUGUUUACUUCUUAUAUUGGUUACUCUCAAAUCUUCUUAGUAUGAAAAAGAAAAAUGGGAAUUUGGUUAUCUAAAGGUGUAAUGUUAAUCAUUUUUAUUGCAAACGUUCAGCAUGCUUUUUAGUUGUAGAACACGAAUUUUGAAUUGUGGUUGCCAAGCUCAGGGUCUACUUUCACUGCAUAAAGAAUUAGCAACUCCAAUUUGUAUGCUUCGUUAUUAUAUUUGCAAGUUAAUAUGUGAUUUUAUUUGGUUCCGAUGUUAAUCUACUGAUAUCUUCUUAAUAUAUAAAUAGAAAAAGAGAAUAAUGCCAUAAAAGUGCAAUAUUUGUCAUCAUAUUGCGAGUUUUAG